GAGCAGACACGGUCUCCUCUCUCUUUAUCUGUGUUUCAGCCAGGUGCCAACGCAGCGAUCCUCAAGAUGGUCUACACCCGCUGGAAGUGCGAUCGCAUCCCUGUGCUCCAGCUGAAGCUGUUCACGCAGGAGUACAACAUGAUGGCAGUCGUUGGUCUGCUAUCCAUGGUGUUUCUGUUCAAGCACGCAAGCUACUGCUCUGAGGAGACGGAGCGAAAGAACGGCUGGUGGGCAGGCUACCCGUAUUGGCGUGACCCCAUUGCGCGUCGCAACGAGAUUCGGUACAAGCAACUGAUCAACAGCAACGACGUGGACAUUACCGACCCGAAGUGGACUGGCUGUUCCAAGGAGCAGCUGGAGCGCCUGCGCGCGAUUGUUUGAGGAGCGCAAAUGUGUGGAACUGAUACGCGACUGCAACGGGUGACCUGUUUGACAGCUGGUCUGCCUUCGCUCCCAUUUUUGUUUUCUGCCAGCCGCUGCUGUAAGCUUUGUAGUAACAAACAGUCUCAUGCAGGGCGGGUCGCGCCUACGUCGUUUUGUUUUCGUCCCUCUUCCUUUAGGAACUAAGUAGGAAAUACUUCACGCCUGUCGUGUGUAGUGAGAAAGGCCGAAAAAGCGCAGAGAAAGAGAGCAAGAAGCGCGUUGCUGUGCGGAACCACGCAGAGCAGCGGCGUCAGGUUUGCGAGAUGGCUCAGGGUAAGACUCAUGUGCGCCGCUGUGUGUUGCAUUCUGAUCGCACGCAUGCCUGUGUGGGUGGUGGGCGAGUACUUUGUAUGAGUAUUCUCUUGUUCAAGAGGUGCCGGAUGGCGUUGCUGAUGAAAGGCGGCUUCGUGCUGCUGUGCGUCCUGCUCCUCUCCGCGGCUGUCGUCGCCUGUGUUAUGUCAAUUGAAUGUGCUUGCUUCCUGUGCUGGCCUUACAACCCUUUGAUUGCUUCCUUUUUACUUCCCUGUGUAG
rnacentral:misc_RNA from 1 species